GGUUAAGUCCCGCAACGAGCGCAACCCCUACUGCCAGUUACUAACAGGUGAAGCUGAGGACUCUGGCGGAACUGCCGGUGACAAACCGGAGGAAGGUGGGGAUGACGUCAAGUCAUCAUGGCCCUUAUGUCCAGGGCUACACACGUGCUACAAUGGGCGGUACAACGUGACGCGAAACCGUGAGGUAAGAGCGAAGCANUAAAAGCCGNCCGUAGUUCGGAUUGAAGUCUGAAACCCGACUUCAUGAAGUUGGAAUCGCUAGUAAUCGCUCAUCACCAUGGCGCGGUGAAUACGUUCCCGGGCCUUGUACACACCGCCCGUCACACCAUCCGAGUUGGAGGUACCCGAAGCCGGUAGUCUAACCGCANGGAGGACGCUGUCAAAGGUACGUUUAGUGAGGAGGGUGAAGUCGUAACAAGGUAGCCGUACUGGAAAGUGCGGUUGGAUCACCUCCUUUCU
rnacentral:rRNA from 1 species